CGCAGCCGCGGUAAUUCCAGCUCCAAUAGCGUAUAUUAAAGUUGUUGCAGUUAAAAAGCUCGUAGUUGAAUUUCGGGAUUAGUAGGUCGGUCGUGCCACUGGUAUGAACUGGUCUCACUGGUUCCUCCCUCUUGACGAACUGCAAUGCUAUUAAUUUAGUGUUGUAGGAAAUCAAGACUGUUACUUUGAAAAAAUUAGAGUGUUUAAAGCAGGCUUUAGCUUGAAUACAUUAGCAUGGAAUAAUGAAAUAGGACGUUCGAUCCUAUUUUGUUGGCUUCUAGGAUUGACGUAAUGAUUAAUAGGGACAGUUGGGGGCAUUAGUAUUCAAUUGUCAGAGGUGAAAUUCUUGGAUUUAUUGAAGACUAACUACUGCGAAAGCAUUUGCCAAGGAUGUUUUCAUUAAUCAAGAACGAAAGUUAGGGGAUCGAAGACGAUCAGAUACCGUCGUAGUCUUAACCAUAAACUAUGCCGACUAGGGAUCGGAUGAUGUUAAUUUUUUAAUGACUCAUUCGGCGCCG
rnacentral:rRNA from 1 species